rnacentral:rRNA from 1 species
GAUGAACGCUGGCGGCGUGCCUAAUACAUGCAAGUCGAGCGGACGGACGAGAAGCUUGCUCCCCUGCUGUUAGCGGCGGGCGGGCGAGUAACACGUGCAUCACAUUCUUCUUUUACUGGGAUAACUUCGGAAAACCGGUGCUAAUACCAGAUAAUAUUUUCAACCGGAUGGUUCAAGAGAGCUUGACGCUCUUCCCGUUUCUUUUAGACGAAUCCGCGCUGCAUUAGCUAGUUGGUAAGGUAACGGCUUACCAAGGCAACGAUGCGUAGCCGACCUGAGAGGGUGAUCGGCCACACUGGAACUGAGACACGGUCCAGACUCCUACGGGAGGCAGCAGUAGGGAAUCUUCCGCAAUGGGCGAAAGCCUGACGGAGCAACGCCGCGUGAGUGAAGAAGGUCUUCGGAUCGUAAAACUCUGUUAUUGGGGAAGAACAUAUGUGUAAGUAACUGUGGACAUCUUGACGGUACCUAAACAGAAAGCCACGGCUAACUACGUG